CAGCUACACGGAGGGGUCAGAGGCUGUAGACACUGCUGUCGGUCGAGCUCAGGCAUCAGAUGGGACACAGUCUAGCCUAAAAGGCAUCCAGCCGUUCAGACCAUGGUAGAUGAAUCUAAAUGCAGUGUUCUACUGCUCACCUGUGUGGAAUGGGACAAGGGCACACAGGUUCCAGACAGCCAGGCUUUAAUGAAUAUUCAAGUCCCUGGAACUGGUCUUGGAAGUCGAAGGUGAGUGAAAAGAGGCUGACCAAGAACUGCAUAUGAAGAAGUCUGUAAAUGGAAAGGAUUCAUCAGGAAGUUGACUGAUAGCAGUCAAAUUGUAUGCAUCAGUGCUUUUCCUUCUCUUUUAUCCAGCAAAAUUUUAAGUGCAAAGUUGGAUCACAACCUGGAAGAAUUCAGGGUGGGUAUUGCAAACUCCCACCGGGAACAACUAAGGACAAACCCAGCUGCUGCUGAUGCCUAGCAUCCUUCUAAGAAUGAGGGAGACUUCCUUCUGUAUUUAUGCCUAAGAUGUCGUGUGCAUAAGACCCUGGCCAGAGCAAGCCUGUGGAGAGCACAUGGCGUCAGUGUUACUGCUCAGAUUCAUUCAACAGUCAACACUGCGAUUCACGUGGCUGCAAAGCUCAUUCUCUGUAAGGCAGGUGUUCAGGCUCCACAUGGUCACCUGCCCAAACCACAGUCACACCAUCCUAGGAGACAAACUCUGGAUGGGACUCACUCUAGCUUCUUGUCAAUUACACUGUGGCUCACUCCUCACAUCUUGAUCCUUCCAGCAGCCCCCUGACAAAAGGUCCAAACUUGACUUCAGGACAUUUCAUUUCAGCUAAUGUAGCUUAAGUCUGUUUCAGCUCUUGUAGCAACUCUGUUACACUUUUAUGUGAAUUUGAGGUUAAAUUAAUCUUUUUCUUCAGGUAACAUUGAUAUAGGUGACUAACUCUGGUGCCCUUGGUAAGUGAAUAUAAAAUAAUGGAUUUGUAGGUUUAGUUCCAUUAAAGCCAAUUGCAGAAUACACGCAUGCUUCAUGAAAUGUGAUGUUGUCAGUUUCUGCCCACAUCUUUCAAAAUCUUGAAUGUAUCACUCAAAAGCUAGGUGAGUCCUCAUAGGUUCAAGCAUCUGAAAUGGGAUGUAUCUUUAUUCCAUUGCAAUACUGAUUAAUAAAUGAUACUCAGAACAGAGCCAUACAUGGACUCUUUGCCAUGUCAUUAAAGACCGUCGCUAUUAGUUUGAACCGUGUGAAAUUGCUAUUUUUAUAGGUAAAAUCUAAA
rnacentral:lncRNA from 1 species